UUCUUGAAGGUACGUUGCAGGCUGGCACUUCUGCCGUUUCUGAUAAGUUGCUUGAUUUGGUUGGACUUGGUGGCAAGUCUGCCGCUGAUAAAGGAAAGGAUACUCGUGAUUAUCUUGCUGCUGCAUUUCCUGAGCUUAAUGCUUGGGAGCGUGCUGGUGCUGAUGCUUCCUCUGCUGGUAUGGUUGACGCCGGAUUUGAGAAUCAAAAAGAGCUUACUAAAAUGCAACUGGACAAUCAGAAAGAGAUUGCCGAGAUGCAAAAUGAGACUCAAAAAGAGAUUGCUGGCAUUCAGUCGGCGACUUCACGCCAGAAUACGAAAGACCAGGUAUAUGCACAAAAUGAGAUGCUUGCUUAUCAACAGAAG
rnacentral:rRNA from 1 species